GUUAUGUGCAGUUUCUCGGUGUUUAACGCUGAUGGAUGCACCGCCAGGGCUGUACAGUGUUCCUCCUGUCCUUUAGAAACCAUUAACUCGCUUUAGACAGCAAAGGGGCAUUUUGUCCAUUAUGGGUGCUGGGGCACUGGCAUACUUUUUACCACAAGCAAAAAAGGAGUAACAACCACUGAAGCACCACCCAAGGAAGAGGAGGGAUGCAGGAGGCAAAGGCACCUGACCUGGGACGGAAAGAGAGGGCUCGUUGAACCCCGAUCUCCAGCAACCAGGGUCAAAUAGCAGGUGUAGUUCAGUGGCCCUGCUGCAGAAGAAGUUGGGGUCAGAAGGAGACUAUCAGGACCAACAGAUUAUCUGAUAAACCAGAAUGUUCUUCUGGAUCUGAUGAGCUGAGUCCACCUGGGGCAAAGAAUGCCUGCAGUGAUAUGCAGACAGCAGAGACCACUAAAUAUGCUUCUGAACCUGAACCUUCUUUGACUUCUGAUGGUGCAAAAGUAGGAAUUACUGCUGAAAAGAUUUUUUCUAGGGUGAAAACCACAGCUCAUGACCAUAGGUGAGUGUCAGGAUGUAGACCGAUCGGUAAACAGAGAGCUCC